UCACUGUUCUCUUGGGGACAAUCUUGUGAGUCAACGGUCUCUAAAAAGGUAAUUGGUAAAAUAAUUUCGAAAUAAUAUACGUUUCAUUAUUAUGUCAACCAUGAAGAUAUAUAAACCUAAAACAAAAAAAACAUUGCUCAAAAGAAUUGAAUCAAAUAGAAAGCAUAAAAUGAAAGAUAUUAAUAGAUAGUUAAGUACCAUUAAGGAAAAACAUUGCCAAAACAGCAAAUAAUAAUCCCAAGAGCAUGGCUAUAACUCCCAAAAACCUGUUAGAGUCUGCCAAUUGGUAAUACGUUUGAUUCAAGUGUCUAGACUGACAAUGCCUAAUAAUGUGUAAAAGUGUGCAUGCAAUAACAUCAGUUUGGAAACUGACAAGCAUUUCUAAAGGUACUUAAAAUCACCUCAAAUAUAAUCAAAACGGGAGGGCCCCACUAUGUCAAGACUGGAAAAAAGUGUGUGUGUGUGAUGUGAAUUUCAACAACAAAAAUUGAACCAUCUAAUUGAAUGGACCCCAUAAGGGUAAAUGAAUGUGUUCAAAAGAUAUCCAGAGGGUUAGGCUAGAAAGGUUUGCGGUCAGGUGAACUCUACUACUAAAUGAUGGACAGGAUGUUUCCGAGGUGGAAUAUUAGUUGCAUCCUUACUUGGCAAACAUGCUAUAAAAGAUACCACAUAAAAUGGAGAGUAACUACAGGUUAUAUAACAUUCAAUUACCUGAGUAGUAACAUGAUCAGGGAACAGCUUGGGUUCAUCUGACCCAACGUUGGCAUUCUCAAGGUUCUCCUGUACACAACAGAUAAAAAAGUAGAAUUAUUUAGAGCAGGUGUUACGCAUGAAUGCAGAGAUGUGAAAAAAGGUCAGAACUUUGCUCAAAGGAAUUUAAUUAAUUAAACAGUGAAAACUGAAAGAUAUUAAUAGAUACUCAAGUACCAUAAAGGAAAAGCAUUGCCAAAACAGCAAAUAAUAAUCCCAAGAGGAUGUCUAUGACUUCCAACAAGUAUCCGAACAACCUGUUAGAGGCUGCAAAUUGGUAAUAUGUAUUCAGACUUACAAUGCCUAAUAAUGUGUAAAAGUGUGCAUGCAAUAACAUCAGUUUGGAAACUGACAAGCAUUUCCAAAGCUGAGUUAUCACAAUUGUGGAUUAAUUUACAAAUUAAUAUCACAAUCAUAUAACAAAUGUAAGCAAAUGGCAAGGGCGUUUUUCUAGGUCCCAACAUGCCAUUAUAUGUAAGGAGCUGCCAAUUGAUCAUAGUAAAGACGGACAUUUUAAAAACCCCAAUCUCUAUUGUUACUGCAAAUACACUUUAUAUUGGUCACAAUAGCAAUUCUGUUUUUCCCCAUGUCAGAUCUUGUUAAAUAUUUUGCAUUAUAGAUGCACAUCAGAUGCACAGUGAGAAACCUGACCAACUCACCUUUUUACGCCAGGGCCAUUUUGAGUCCCCAUAGUUGUAGACAAUUUCAGUUCCUGGUUCUAUGUUUCUCAGAGCAAACAGGCACAAAUGUACUCUGUCAUUUACACUAACUUUUUUCAUGACACAGUUUGGUGAUUUGUGGUCGUCAUUCGCUAAUCGUCCAAGUGACCCAUCUUCUCUGGAUGCAUCAAUGCUAAAAGGAGGGAAUACAACACAUUAAACUUGUACUU
ensembl:lncRNA